CCUACGGGCGGCUGCAGUGGGGAAUAUUGGACAAUGGGGGGAACCCUGAUCCAGCCAUGCCGCGUGUGUGAAGAAGGCCCUCGGGUUGUAAAGCACUUUCAGUGGGGAAGAACGCCUGGUGGUUAAUACCCAUCAGGAAAGACAUCACUCACAGAAGAAGCACCGGCUAACUCCGUGCCAGCAGCCGCGGUAAUACGGAGGGUGCGAGCGUUAAUCGGAAUUACUGGGCGUAAAGCGCGCGUAGGUGGCUUGAUAAGCCGGUUGUGAAAGCCCCGGGCUCAACCUGGGAACGGCAUCCGGAACUGUCAAGCUAGAGUGCAGGAGAGGAAGGUAGAAUUCCCGGUGUAGCGGUGAAAUGCGUAGAGAUCGGGAGGAAUACCAGUGGCGAAGGCGGCCUUCUGGACUGACACUGACACUGAGGUGCGAAAGCGUGGGUAGCAAACAGGAUUAGAUACCCUAGUAGUC
rnacentral:rRNA from 1 species